AUCUUCCUAUUACAAAGCUAGUAUAAGUGACUUCCAAUCACCCGAUCUUGGUUAAAAUCCAAGGGAAGAUA
rnacentral:tRNA from 1 species